GGAAUGGUGGUGCGGGAAGCAUGGGAGGUGCGUUGUUGGGCUUCAACAAUAUCCUCCUGGCAGUGAUGGACUGAAGCCAUCAAACUACAAGCAAACUUUCCUUAUCUGCACCGGCGUCUACAGCCUCCAUCACAUGUUCCCACCUCCAGGAGCUGCUUUGCCACACCUUCCCUGCCACGAUGGAUGGAGCCACCUGAAACCCUCAGCUAAAUAAAUCCUUCUUCCUUGAGUUGUUUCUGUCAGGUGUCAUGGUUCUCAGCACCAAUAUACUGUUAUUUACCCCCCCGCCCCGCCUUGUCAAAUGUAUUUAAUAAGAAGAGCUUUCUCAAAACUCUGCUCUGAAGGACUUUGCAUGCUCAAACAUUAAAGUUAACUGAAAGAGAUUCAGUAUUGCACAAUUGACAAGUAAAUCCACUUCUCUGGG